rnacentral:rRNA from 1 species
GUUCCAGACUCCUACGGGAGGCAGCAGUGGGGAAUAUUGCACAAUGGGGGAAACCCUGAUGCAGCAACGCCGCGUGAGUGAAGAAGAAUUUCGGAAUGUAAAGCUCUAUCAGCAGGGAAGAAGAUGACGGUACCUGAUUAAGAAGCCCCGGCUAACUACGUGCCAGCAGCCGCGGGAAUACGUAGGGGGCAAGCGUUAUCCGGAUUUACUGGGUGUAAAGGGAGCGCAGACGGCAGUGCAAGUCUGGAGUGAAAGCCCGGGGCCCAACCCCGGAACUGCUCUGGAAACUGUGCGGCUAGAGUACUGGAGGGGCAGGCGGAAUUCCUAGUGUAGCGGUGAAAUGCGUAGAUAUUAGGAGGAACACCAGUGGCGAAGGCGGCCUACUGGACUGUAACUGACGUUGAGGCUCGAAAGCGUGGGGAGCAAACAGGAUUAGAUACCCGCGUAGCC